rnacentral:lncRNA from 10 species
AUUUUCCCAUAACUAGUGCCUAUGUAUGUGCAAAAAAACCCCACUGUUUUGUUUUUUAAACAGGGUCUUGUUCUGUCAUCCAGGCUGCAGUGUGGGGGUGCAAUCAUAGCUCACUGCAGACUUGAUCUCCCAGGCUCAAGUGAUCCUCUUUCCUCAGCCUCCUGAGUAGAUGGGACUACAGGUGCAUGCCACCAUGCCUGGCUAAUUUUUAAAAAUUUUUAUUGUAGAGAUGGGGUCUUGUUAUAUUGCCCAACCUGGUCUCCAACUCCUGGCUCAAACAACCCUCCCACCUUGGCCUCUCAAAGCUGAGGUGGGAGUAUUGCUUGAGGCCAAGAGUUCGAGACCAGCCUGGGCAACAUAGUGAGACCUUGUCUCUACCAAAAACAAAACAAAACAAAAAACAAAGCCAGGCAUGUGACGUGUGCCUGUAGUUCCAGCUACUUGGAGGCUGAGGCAGGAGGAUCACUUGAGGCCAGGAGUUUGAGAGACCCUGUCUCUACAAAAAAUUAAAAUAAAAACAAUAGUAACAGGCACUGAGCCCUGGGCCCUCCCCACUGGCCUUUGCAGUUUGCACUGAUGCAGUACUCAAACCUCCUGAAGAUCCACUUCACCUUCACCCAAUUCCGGACCAGCCCGAGCCAGCAGAGCCUGGUGGAUCCCAUCGUCCAACUGAAAGGCCUGACGUUCACGGCCACGGGCAUCCUGACAGUGGUGUAAGCAACCCCGACCCCAGCCUGGCGAUGUGACUGCCACCCCCACUUCCUAACCCUGGGUCAGCACAGCUCUUCUCAGAGGCUGAGGGAGGCUCCAGGGAAAGGGGCUACCAAGGGGCAUGUCGGGGCUGCAGGGAGAACCUCCCCCCGGGGUGCUCCUGGUUGCCUCGCUGCCAGUCUCCCUGAUAUAGGACUAGGCUCCUCUGCAGCUAUGCCUCCCCUUUGCCUGGUUCUGCAGAGCCUGGACCCCAGGACCCCUCCCCACCCCACAGCAGCCAGAGGCCCGGGCUUUGGCUCAGACACAUCAGGCUCCCAUCCUGGCUCCCCGUGAGCUACUCUGGGUGUAACCCUGGGGUGAUGGGCUCUAAGUCUCAGUAACUCUCAGAUGAAGAUAAGCUCACAGCUUAGGAUUGAGAUCAUGUGUGUGGGGUGCUCAGCCCGGGGCACGUAGGAGGUGUCGGAUAAAUGCCUGAGGUUUUAUCAGAGAAUGGAGUAGUCAGGGACUCAGGAAUUGUCACCCAAGGUCGUCCUGGUGCCUUUCUCCCCACUCACCUCCUCUCCCGCAUCCCUCACCCCUGCGCACCCCCUGUGCUACCCAGGCACUCACCGUGGGCCUGCCCCGUGCACAUGCAGUCUAUUCCUAAAACGAUGUAGGAGGUGGGACCCCCGAGAAAGGCAUGUGGUUCUUGUAGGAAGGAGCUGGGCUGACGGUCGGGGAUCCUUGGCUUCCUGCACACACCCCUGGGAGCAGCCCUGGGGUGGUGCUAGAAUUUGGCUUAAACAAGAGAUGCUCCCACCAAACGCACCCUCUUUACUUCUGGGAGGCUCUUCUGCCUUGAACGGUGGCCCCUUGUGACUCAGCAACCCAGAGGAAGGCCUCCGUCUGUCCUGUAAGUUUAAAGUCACACGGGAGUGUCCCAUUCUGGAGUCUCCACCUCACCCCUCAAAGUUCUUCCAGUGGUGGGGCCUGGGGAAAAAAAUGAAUGAGGCAGGGGUGACCGAGUGGUUCUCACCAACUCCAGUCCUGCUCUCAUGCCCAGACUGCAGGAAAUUU